rnacentral:misc_RNA from 1 species
GAUGAAGAACGUAGCGAAAUGCGAUAAGUAAUGUGAAUUGCAGAAUUCAGUGAAUCAUCGAAUCUUUGAACGCACAUUGCGCCCGCCAGUAUUCUGGCGGGCAUGCCUGUUCGAGCGCCAUUUCAACCAUCAAGCCCCCGGCUUGUGUUGGGGACCUGCGGCUGCCGCAGGCCCUGAAAACCAGUGGCGGGCUCGCUAGUCACUCCGAGCGUAGUAAUACAUCUCGCUCAGGGCGUGCUGCGGGUUCCGGCCGUUAAAAAGCCUUAUUUACCCAAGGUUGACCUCGGAUCAGGUAGGAAGACCCGCUGAACUUAAGCAUAUCAAUAAGCGGAGGA